CCCGGCCGCCGUGGUGCCCCUUACCUGCAGGCGCUCCGUGGCCGGCUGCCACAUCUUCCAGCCGCGGGGUUUGGCAGAGGAGACGCUGUUUUCCCAUUCAGGAGCAACCUGCAAUAGAGGGUGAAUGAAACAGAGACAUCUACUGGCGAGAGGCGGGACUGCAUUGUGAUCUCCCGGUUCUGUUCAGGGACGUGGUGACCUCCUUACCCUCCUGGUAAGAAUUCAGGUGCCAGAGUCAGACAGACCUGAGUUCAACUAUGAUUCCAAAAACUCACCAGAGACAAAAACCAU